GAUGAACGCUGGCGGCGUGCUUAACACAUGCAAGUCGAACGGAAAGGCCCAAGCUUGCUUGGGUACUCGAGUGGCGAACGGGUGAGUAACACGUGGGUGAUCUGCCCUGCACUUCGGGAUAAGCCUUGGAAACUGGGUCUAAUACCGGAUAGGACGAUGUUUUGGAUGCCAUUGUGGAAAGCUUUUUCGGUGUGGGAUGAGGUCGCGGCCUAUCAGCUUGUUGGUGGGGUAAUGGCCUACCAAGGCUUCGACGGGUAGCAGGCCUGAGAGGGUGGACGGCCAGAUUAGAAUCGAGAGACAGGCAGGAGUGGGGAAUGAGGCAGCAGGGGGGAAUAUUGGACAAAGCGAGGCAGCGUGAGGGAGGAAGGCCGUGUGGUGGAAGACGGCCUUUGGGUGGUAAGAACCUUUCGCUACGGACGAAGCGGGUUUGUGACGGUACCUGAAGAAGAAGCACCGGCUAACUACGUG
rnacentral:rRNA from 1 species